UCCCAGAACAGGUCUGAAUGGGCAAGGAAAGUACAGAUUCUUGCUUGACAGCCGCACCCCAUGUGCCCCUCUCCUUCUGACUCAUGGGCGGUCUGGGUGCCAGCCCAGGAGAACUGAGUCACGGCCGCCCUCCUCUGCCUUGUGGGCAGAGCCGCUCCCCGAGGGAGACCUCCCCCCCUGGGAGCCUGAGCGCACCCCGAUCAUCCCGCGGUGCCGGGCGGGCACGGGCAGUGGAGCCAAACGAAGGUCUGGAUGAUGGUCUGGUGUUGGUGACGCUGGUGUGCUCCAGCCAUUGUGAAACAGGGACAAUUAUUCCUGCUCCCACGAGAUUUGGGGGACAGUCCAAUGAGACAGCAUUCAGUUCACAACGUGGGUUUCGGGGGGACAGAGCGGUCAGUCUGUACCAGGCAUAAAGUCUAAAGAACUCAGGGCACCGCGCACGGGGAAUGACAGGUGAGAGGAGGACGCUGUCGUGCUAGGCCCGGUCCAGGCUGAGGCUGUGCUCCGUGGGAUCACGCACCACGUGGCAAGACCUCAGCUCCAUGAAUCGUGCGUUGUCCCCAUCCAGGAGCCACAGCAAACAUGAGCCUUCAGGAUGACAGUGUCAAGUGCAGACAAUGCAGGCUGGAUUCCCGAAUUAUGCAAACAAAGGUGAUCUGACCAUUUCAUAACAAGGUGUCGGUUCAACCAAUGCUUGGUAAUACCCCGACUCAGGUAAGUUUCCCUCUGCCGGCAACGCCUGCCCUCUUUAUAAGAAAAGCACUCUCAGGAGACAGCCGAUAAGAAAAACUGUCCAUGGUUCUUAAGCCAAGGUGAGCUGUGUCCUCAGGAGCUGCGCACCCCGGAAGCUCCCGCAGCUUCUCCCGGGAGGGCAGGCAGCAGAGGGCUGCCGCCCGAAUCUCUGCCCGUCAUUUUUGGGGCAACUUGCUGGAGCAGGGAUGGCGAAGUCCAGGCCGACCCCACAAACCGUCUUAACUACUCAAGUCAUUCCGAGAACAACAGCUGUGUCCAAAUGGGCUGUUUUGGACCCAAAGUGUAUCCGUACCUGCGAAUUUCAGGAGACUAUUUAAAAAUGCCCUUUCCUGUGUUGCCGGGAAGAAAUGACAGUCAUCACCCGAUUCCAGGUGAACCACACUGCGAUCACCCGCCUUGGCGCCAGGUCCCGGGCUAAGCUCCUUCCCGGUCUUAUUUCCAGUCCUAGCAGCACCUCAGCCCCAGUGUUCCAGGUGAGGAAACCAAAGCAGAAGGAGGUAAAGAGAACAAUCAAACAAACGUACAAAAA